rnacentral:rRNA from 1 species
GAUUAACGCUGGCGGCAGGCCUAACACAUGCAAGUCGAGCGGAUGAGUGGAGCUUGCUCCAUGAUUCAGCGGCGGACGGGUGAGUAAUGCCUAGGAAUCUGCCUGGUAGUGGGGGACAACGUUUCGAAAGGAACGCUAAUACCGCAUACGUCCUACGGGAGAAAGCAGGGGACCUUCGGGCCUUGCGCUAUCAGAUGAGCCUAGGUCGGAUUAGCUAGUAGGUGAGGUAAAGGCUCACCUAGGCGACGAUCCGUAACUGGUCUGAGAGGAUGAUCAGUCACACUGGAACUGAGACACGGUCCAGACUCCUACGGGAGGCAGCAGUGGGGAAUAUUGGACAAUGGGCGAAAGCCUGAUCCAGCCAUGCCGCGUGUGUGAAGAAGGUCUUCGGAUUGUAAAGCACUUUAAGUUGGGAGGAAGGGCAGUAAGCUAAUACCUUGCUGUUUUGACGUUACCAACAGAAUAAGCACCGGCUAACUCUGUGCCAGCCGCCGCAGUAAAAC